UACAGAGGAGCCAAGCGUUGUCCGGAUUCACUGGGCGUAAAGGGUGCGCAGGCGGUCGGGUGUGUCAGAUGUGAAAUCCCGAGGCUCAACCUCGGAACUGCGUCUGAAACUACUCGACUAGAGUACUGGAGAGGGUAACGGAAUUCACGGUGUAGCAGUGAAAUGCGUAGAUAUCGUGAGGAACACCAGAGGCGAAGGCGGUUACCUGGACAGUUACUGACGCUCAGGCACGAAAGCAUGGGGAGCAAAAGGG
rnacentral:rRNA from 1 species